rnacentral:rRNA from 1 species
AAGUUUUUAAUCAAGGCUUAACUUUACAAAUUUAAUUAAUAAAUAUUAUUUACAAGAAAAACCACUUAUAAAACCUAGUAGAAUUAUCCGAAUAUAAAAAAGACCUAAAGAACAGUACCGAAAGGGAACAAUGAAAUAAUAUGAAAUAAUAAACCAAAAAUAGGAAAGAUAAAGCCUUUUACCUUGUGUAUAAUGGAUUUACAAGAAAAAAGAUAUAAAAAUCUAAGCCCGAAACCAAACGAGCUAACCUUUUCUUCUCUUUUAGGAAAAAACAACUACUGUUACAAUAGUAGUAAUAAAGAAAAGGUUAGAUGUUAUAUGCUAAUCGCGUCUGGAAAUAGCUGGUUACCUAAGAAAUUAGUGUUAGCUAAGCCUUCUCUAUAAAAUCUAAACAAUAGUUAAAUAAUUAAUAAUAACUAAUUAGAACUUUAAUAAGAAGAAAGGUUAGGGGGGGAAGGAUAAGCUUUUCCCCCAAAAUGGAAAACCCCAAAUAUAUUAGUUAAAGUCAAUAAUAAAUAAAAAUAGUAUUUUAAAUAUAAGUAGGCCUAGAAGCAGCCAACCAAAAAGAAAGCGUUAAAGCUCAAUAUAAUAAUAACACUAUAAAAUUCAUGAGUCUUAACUACUAAAACUAUAUAACUACCUAUUAGGUUACUCCCAUCUGGGAAAAAUUUAUGUUAAUAUGAGUAAAGAACAUCUCACUCGAGUUAUAAACAAACUUAACUAUGGAAGAAAAAUAAUAAAUCUAAAAAUAACAUUUUUAAACUUGUCUUCCAACUCAGGAGAGUAUAUAUUAAACAAUAAAAAGGUAAGAAGGAACUCGGCAAAAACAAGUUUCGCCUGUUUACCAAAAACAUCGCUCUCUGAUAAAAUAUAUAUAGAGAGUCCUGCCUGCCCAGUGAUUUUUAAAAAUUAAACGGCCGCGGUAUCUUGACCGUGCGAAGGUAGCAUAAUCAUUUGUCUCCUAAAUAGAGACUAGCAUGAAUGGCAAGACGGAACUUUACUGUCUCCUUACCCCAUCUUGAAUUUCACUUCCCCGUGAAGAGGCGGGGAUUAUUUCGUUAGACGAGAAGACCCUGUCGAGCUUACAGUAAAGUAUAGAUUUUUAACUUUUAAAUUAAACUUUUCUAAUUAGUAAAUUUAAAAUUAAUUUAACUAGAAAAAUCUAUACUAGCUUAAGUUGGGGCAACUGAGGAGUAAACCAAACCUCCACUACUAUAAAUUUGAAUAAAGAGAUAUAUCUCUAAUACUAAUCGCAAGAGACGAAAGAGUGAUCCACCCAGGUGAUCAAAAGAAAAAGUUACCGCAGGGAUAACAGCGUUAUCUUCUUUAAGAGUCCAUAUUGACAAGAAGGUUUGCGACCUCGAUGUUGGAUCGGGACAUCCUAGAGGUGCAGAAGCUUCUAAGGGUUGGUCUGUUCGACCAUUAAAGUCCUACGUGAUCUGAGUUCAGACCGGCGAGAGCCAGGUCAGUUUCUAUCUACGAAAUAACUUCUUUUUUAGUACGAAAGGACCAAAAAGAAGGUGUAAAUAUUAUACUAUAAACACCAAAAAUACAAAUUAAAAAC